rnacentral:misc_RNA from 1 species
GAUGAAGAACGUAGCGAAAUGCGAUAAUUAAUGUGAAUUGCAGAAUUCCGUGAAUCAUCGAGUCUUUGAACGCACAUUGCGCCUCAUGGCAUUCCGUGAGGCAUGCCCAUCUCAGCGUUAGAAAAUAUUCUCAAAUUUUAGUUUUGCGCUAAAAUUUGGAUCAUGUCAAGGAAGCUAUUACUAUUAUUGUGAUCGCUCUUUGGAAAUUGAUAGGUCUUUGAGUUGCUACUCAUAGAACGUGAUGAAUCUUUCUUCGUUCUAUUGUAAUUCACUCUGGUAGUCCUAAAACUUGUAUGCCUGUGGCAUAUCUUGUAAUUUGACCUGAGAUUGGGUAGGGAUACCCGCUGAACUUAAGCAUAUCAAUAAGCGGAGGA